rnacentral:lncRNA from 1 species
GAUGAGGAAAUCAAAUCACCCAUUUGAUUUUGCAUUUGCUGUCAUCUCUCUUCUAUAAACUCUCACUCGCAGGUGCAGGUGAAGGUGCUUAAGUAUUAAUUUUUUUUUUAGUAUCAUGCUAUUCAAUCUUAUCUUAUGCUGCAGUAUUAAUAAUAAUAAUGUCGUCUACCUUUACCCUUUUUUUUACCUAACAGGUUCAUUACUGGCAGAGGGUGAAACACUUAUAUCAAGUGUUAGAUAUGUUUGAAGGGUGGUGUUCUUUUCUGCAAUAGCCAAUUGAAAUUCAGUUAUGUUAUAUUAUUGCAGGCUGAUUACUGUUCAUCCAAGUUUUUGGGCCAACAAGAUGAAGGGAAGGUUAAAAUCUGAUGGAAUAAGAUAGGUGACGCAAUGAUGAUGGUUUUUAUCAACAAGCAAAUGUUAGUUGUUAAUUGUUAGUUCUCUCUUAUUCUUUUACCACCAAACCAACCUAGUAACUUUGUGUCACUAGAAUGUGAUUAAGCAGAUUGGCAGUUUGAAGGAAGGUACAGUUAUGCUAUGCAGUGCAUGUAAUCAGUAAAAGCAAAUGGAGAUAUAGUGUUUGAUUAAGAUGAUAAUGUCAAAUUGCUGUGUGGUGGAUCAUAUAAUACUAGCAUGGAUGAGAUGUUUAGUUUAAAUGGGUUUGGUUAGGGAAUGCUUGUCUAACGUGUCCAGUUAUUGAUGCUCAGAAUGAUGGUUGAUAAACCUGUAAAAUUGGUAGUGUUUUUGCAGGAAAUAUUAGUGAUUGUAAUUGUUACACAAAAGUUGGAGGGAUAUUAUAGGCUUAGGGUAUGAUGUAAGGGUUGAACUCUUUUAUUAUUAUAUUUCUC